UGGGGAAUAUUGGACAAUGGGCGAAAGCCUGAUCCAGCCAUGCCGCGUGUGUGAAGAAGGCCUUUUGGUUGUAAAGCACUUUAAGCGAGGAGGAGGCUACUUGGAUUAAUACUCUAGGAUAGUGGACGUUACUCGCAGAAUAAGCACCGGCUAACUCUGUGCCAGCAGCCGCGGUAAUACAGAGGGUGCGAGCGUUAAUCGGAUUUACUGGGCGUAAAGCGUGCGUAGGCGGCUUCUUAAGUCGGAUGUGAAAUCCCUGAGCUUAACUUAGGAAUUGCAUUCGAUACUGGGAAGCUAGAGUAUGGGAGAGGAUGGUAGAAUUCCAGGUGUAGCGUUGAAAUGCGUAGAGAUCUGGAGGAAUACCGAUGGCGAAGGCAGCCAUCUGGCCUAAUACUGACGCUGAGGUACGAAAGCAUGGGGAGCAAACAGG
rnacentral:rRNA from 1 species